GCCCGUUGGUCAAGCGGUUAAGACACCGCCCUUUCACGGCGGUAACACGGGUUCGAAUCCCGUACGGGUCAUCA
rnacentral:tRNA from 1 species